UCGUGUCGUGAGAUGUUGGGUUAAGUCCCGCAACGAGCGCAACCCUUGUCCUUAGUUGCCAGCACGUAAUGGUGGGAACUCUAAGGAGACUGCCGGUGACAAACCGGAGGAAGGUGGGGAUGACGUCAAGUCCUCAUGGCCCUUACGGCCAGGGCUACACACGUACUACAAUGGUCGGUACAGAGGGUCGCGAAGCCGCAAGGUGGAGCCAAUCCCAGAAAACCGAUCCCAGUCCGGAUUGGAGUCUGCAACUCGACUCCAUGAAGUUGGAAUCGCUAGUAAUCGCGAAUCAGCUAUGUCGCGGUGAAUACGUUCCCGGGCCUUGUACACACCGCCCGUCACACCAUGGGAGUUGGCUGCACCAGAAGCAGGUAGUCUAACCGCAAGGAGGACGCCUACCACGGUGUGGUCAAUGACUGGGGNGAAGUCGUAACAAGGUAACC
rnacentral:rRNA from 1 species